rnacentral:tRNA from 2 species
GGGGCCUUAGCUCAGCUGGGAGAGCGCAUGGCUGGCAGCCAUGAGGUCAGGGGUUCGAACCCCCUAGGCUCCACCA